rnacentral:rRNA from 1 species
UACAGGGGUGCAAACGUUGCUCGGAAUCAUUGGGCGUAAGCGCACGUAGGCGGUCUGUUAUGUCGGAUGUGAAGCCCUUGGCUCAACUGAGGAAGUGCAUCCGAAACUGGCAGGCUAGAGUACUAAAAGGAUCGCGGAAUUCCCGGUGUAGAGGUGAAAUUCGUAGAUAUUGGGAAGAACACCUGAGGCGAAGGCGGGUUGC